AUACUAUUCCCUCCGUCCGGAAAUACUUGUCGGAGGAAUGGAUGUAUCUAGAAUUCUAGAUGCAUUUUAGUUUUAGAUGCAUCCAUUUAUACCCAUUUCCGCGACAAGUAUUUCCGGACGGAGGGAGUAGAUA
rfam:Triticum aestivum genome assembly, contig: Triticum_aestivum_CS42_TGACv1_scaffold_031394_1BL